rnacentral:rRNA from 1 species
UACGUAGGGGGCGAGCGUUGUCCGGAUUUAUUGGGCGUAAAGAGCGUGUAGGCGGCCAGGUAGGUCUGCUGUGAAAACUCGAGGCUCAACCUCGAGACGUCGGCGGAAACCAUCUGGCUAGAGUCCGGAAGAGGAGAGUGGAAUUCCUGGUGUAGCGGUGAAAUGCGCAGAUAUCAGGAAGAACACCCGUGGCGAAGGCGGCUCUCUGGGUCGGUACUGACGCUGAGACGCGAAAGCGUGGGGAGCGAACAGG